UAAUAACUUGGGAGGCU
rnacentral:sRNA from 1 species